rnacentral:rRNA from 1 species
UACGUAGGGCGCAAGCGUUAUCCGGAAUUAUUGGGCGUAAAGAGCUCGUAGGCGGUUUGUCGCGUCUGCCGUGAAAGUCCGGGGCUUAACCCCGGGCCUGCAGUGGGUACGGGCAGACUAGAGUGCGGUAGGGGAGACUGGAAUUCCUGGUGUAGCGGUGAAAUGCGCAGAUAUCAGGAGGAACACCGGUGGCGAAGGCGGGUCUCUGGGCCGAGUACUGACGCUGAGGAGCGAAAGCGUGGGGAGCGAACAGG